UACGAAGGGGGCUAGCGUUGCUCGGAAUUACUGGGCGUAAAGGGAGCGUAGGCGGAUAGUUUAGUCAGAGGUGAAAGCCCAGGGCUCAACCUUGGAAUUGCCUUUGAUACUGGCUAUCUUGAGUAUGGGAGAGGUGUGUGGAACUCCGAGUGUAGAGGUGAAAUUCGUAGAUAUUGGGAAGAACACCGGUGGCGGAGGCGGCGAGCUGGUCCAUUACUGACGCUGAGGCGCGAAAGCGUGGGGAGCAAACAGG
rnacentral:rRNA from 1 species